rnacentral:rRNA from 1 species
GACGAACGCUGGCGGCGUGCUUAACACAUGCAAGUCGAACGGUGAAAGCGGAGCUUGCUCCGCUGGAUCAGUGGCGAACGGGUGAGUAACACGUGGGUAACCUGCCCAUAAGACUGGGAUAACUCCGGGAAACCGGGGCUAAUACCGGAUAACAUUUUGAACCGCAUGGUUCGAAAUUGAAAGGCGGCUUCGGCUGUCACUUAUGGAUGGACCCGCGUCGCAUUAGCUAGUUGGUGAGGUAACGGCUCACCAAGGCAACGAUUCGUAGCCGACCUGAGAGGGUGGUCGGCCACACUGGGACUGAAACACGGCCCAGACUCCUACGGGAGGCAGCAGUAGGGAAUCUUCCGCAAUGGACGAAAGUCUGACGGAGCAACGCCGCGUGAGUGAUGAAGGCUUUCGGGUCGUAAAACUCUGUUGUUAGGGAAGAACAAGUGCUAGUUGAAUAAGCUGGCACCUUGACGGUACCUAACCAGAAAGCCACGGCUAACUACGUGCCAGCCGCCGCAGUAA